AAAAUACGGGAGGCAGCAGCUAAGAAUCUUCCGCAAUGGACGAAAGUCUGACGGAGCGACGCCGUGUGAAUGAAGAAGGCCGAAAGGUUGUAAAAUUCUUUUGCAGAUGAAGAAUAAGAAGAAGAGGGAAUGCUUCUUUGAUGACGGUAGUCAUGCGAAUAAGCCCCGGCUAACUACGUGCCAGCAGCCGCGGUUAAUUUUU
rnacentral:rRNA from 1 species